GGCCUGUUGGUCUAGUGGUAUGAUUCCUGCUUUGGGUGCAGGAGGUCCCGGGUUCACAUCCCGGACAGGCCC
rnacentral:tRNA from 1 species